rnacentral:rRNA from 1 species
GAAUAUUGGACAAUGGGGGGAACCCUGAUCCAGCCAUGCCGCGUGUGUGAAGAAGGCCUUUUGGUUGUAAAGCACUUUAAGCGAGGAGGAGGCUACUCUAGUGAAUAACUAGAGAUAGGGGACGGUACUCGCAGAAGAAGCACCGGCUAAAGCAGUGCCAGCAGCCGCGGUAAUACAGAGGGUGCAAGCGUUACUCGGAUUUACUGGGCGUAAAGCGCGCGUAGGUGGCCAAUUAAGUCAAAUGUGAAAUCCCCGAGCUUAACUUGGGAAUUGCAUUCGAUACUGGUUGGCUAGAGUAUGGGAGAGGAUGGUAGAAUUCCAGGUGUAGCGGUGAAAUGCGUAGAGAUCUGGAGGAAUACCGAUGGCGAAGGCAGCCAUCUGGCCUAAUACUGACACUGAGGUGCGAAAGCAUGGGGAGCAAACA